UGAGGAAUUUUCUGCAAUGGGCGAAAGCCUGACAGAGCAAUACCGCGUGAGGGAUGAAGGCCUAUGGGUUGUAAACCUCUUUUCUCAAGGAGGAAGAUAUGACGUUACUUGAGGAAUAAGCAUCGGCUAACCCUGUGCCAGCAGCCGCGGUAAUACAGGGGAUGCAAGUGUUAUCCGGAAUCAUUGGGCGUAAAGCGUCUGCAGGUUGACUUUUAAGUCUUUUGUUAAAGCUCUGGGCUUAACCUAGAAUAUGCAAAGGAAACUAUUUGUCUUGAGUAUGGUAGAGGUAAAGGGAAUUUCCAGUGGAGCGGUGAAAUGCUUAGAUAUUGGAAAGAACACCAACAGCGAAGGCACUUUACUGGGCCAGUACUGACGCUGAGGUGCGAAAGCGUGGGGAGCAAACAGGAUUAGAUACCCCAGUAGUCCCUGAGCGGGCUGGCAAGGCGCAU
rnacentral:rRNA from 1 species